AUCGCAGGGUGGGGAGGCACCCCCCGCGAGGCGGGGACUCAGAGGUAGCCCCUCUUUCCCUCCUGGCUCUUAGGACCCCAAUCGCAGGCGGGGAGGCACCCACCGCGAGGAGGGUAGUGAGAGCCAGCCCCUCUUCCCCCCCCUGGCUCUUAGGACCCCCGUCGCAGGAGGGGAGGCACCCCCCACGAGGCGGGGACUGAGUGCCGGCCACUCUUUCCCCCCUGGCUCUUAGGACCACCAUCGCAGAGGCAGGAGGCACCCCCCGCGAGUAUUUUAUUUAUUAGGUUGAAUCGUUCAAGCUGCAGUCCAGUAGGGAAGGUGUCCCUGGGUAGAAACAAGUUGUCACUAAAGCAGGCUUAACAGGAAGCAUGACUGUGAGGCCUCAGGAAACUUAAAAUCAUGGCAGAAGGUGGAAGAGAUGCAAGGACCUUCUUCACAAUGGCAGCAGGAGAAAGACACAGAGAGAGAGAGAGCACAAAGGGGAAUAUCGAGAGGACAUUCAAAUAGAGAGGAAUUGUUACCUUACCCCUCAUGCAAGCCUGAACCUGAAGAGCACUCCUUUGGUGGUGAUGCAGUUGCCCUGAAGUGUUCCAGAAAGACCGUUUACAGGAGGAGAAAGCCCUGAGAGCUAUUCUACCGUGUAUGCUGCUGCUCCUCUGGGUCUAGCCGUACAGUGGGGCUGCCACACUUCAUGUGGGUGCUUCGGAAUGUCUGCAAGGGAUCCAGUGAUGUUACCUGUCCUCAAGUCUGUUUAUAGUUACACCCAUGCUGGGGUCCCAUGAGAGAAUUCCCAGCUGUGUCUGUAGUGAUGAAUGAGUGGGAAAAGAAGUCCCCUUCUCCCAGACGUCUCACAAGUAUCAGGGCUGCCUGACUAUUUGGAUAGAGCUGCAGGUACCCACAGCAGUGGGUACCAACACCAGCUCUGAUGGAGGUGACAGGUAUCAAGAAUGGUGCUUCCUUCAUGAAUAGUACAGGCCUUGCCAACGGAUGAAAUUGACAGAAAUAAGAGGCAAUUAUUUAAUUUACUUUGGAGGUUGAGAGAGACUUUUCUUAAACACACAAUAAAUGCAUCAUAGGGGCUCAGAUGUUUCUGGCAAGAUUAUGAAGAUAGACUGAUUGGUGUUCAUGUAUUGUGAUGGUAGAGACUGAGAUCAGCAAAAUAUUAUGUAUGCAGUUGACAUCUUACACGAAGAAUUUGGAGUAUGGACAUUACAUGAUUGUCUCUCAGCCACCCUAUGGAAAACAGAAUUGUCUGGCUCUACCUACCUGGAAUUUCAACCCAUAAAUUUAACUCAAUUAUUUGUAGCAGAGGUUCUUAAAUAAAGCAGCAUUAUUUAGAAUUA